AUGCUUCCUACGACCACACAUGAAGCUCCUCUCCUCCUCUCAAAACCAUGAAACAGCCUCUGUGAACUAAAGACUUCGAAUUUGCACUUCCUAUUUCCCUCAAACUCAGCAAUUCCUUCAUUAUGUGAACUGGGUAAGGAGGCAAACAGAUCAUCAUCACCACGGAAUAUUUCGAACUUUGCUUUGUGUAGUUAUCUCUUCCGUUAUUUCAGAGCUGAAAUCAUAGCUGGGUACCUCUUGAUUUUGAGCAAAUCCAAUUCUAUCAGGGCUAAAUAGUGACUGGGUAAUCUUGAAUUGCAGGACUUGGUUGUCCAAGCAAUGGCUUCGAAAGGGACCGGAGAAG
rnacentral:lncRNA from 1 species